rnacentral:rRNA from 1 species
UACGUAGGUGGCAAGCGUUGUCCGGAAUUAUUGGGCGUAAAGCGCGCGCAGGCGGUCCUUUAAGUCUGAUGUGAAAGCCCACGGCUCAACCGUGGAGGGUCAUUGGAAACUGGGGGACUUGAGUGCAGGAGAGAAAAGUGGAAUUCCACGUGUAGCGGUGAAAUGCGUAGAGAUGUGGAGGAACACCAGUGGCGAAGGCGAGUCCCUGGACAACUCCUGACACUGAGGCACGAAAGCUAGGGGAGCAAACAGG